rnacentral:pre_miRNA from 1 species
GUAAGGGCCUGAUCCAAAGCCCACUGAAGUCUAUAGGAAUCUUUCCAUUGACUUCAGUAGGCUUUGGUCCAGGCCCUAAGAAA